CGAGCGAGAAAGCCCUUCGGGGUGAGUAUAGCGGCGGACGGGUGAGUAACGCGUAGGAAUCUACCUGGUAGUGGGGGACAACAUGUGGAAACGCAUGCUAAUACCGCAUACGCCCUACGGGGGAAAGCGGGGGACCUUCGGGCCUCGUGCUAUCAGAUGAGCCUGCGUAAGAUUAGCUAGUUGGUGGGGUAAAGGCUCACCAAGGCGACGAUCUUUAGCUGGUCUGAGAGGAUGAUCAGCCACACUGGGACUGAGACACGGCCCAGACUCCUACGGGAGGCAGCAGUGGGGAAUAUUGCGCAAUGGGCGAAAGCCUGACGCAGCCAUGCCGCGUGUGUGAAGAAGGCCUUAGGGUUGUAAAGCACUUUCAAUUGGGAGGAAAGGUUAUGCGUUAAUAGCGUAUAACUGUGACGUUACCUUUAGAAGAAGCACCGGCUAACUCCGUGCCAGCAGCCGCGGUAAUACGGAGGGUGCGAGCGUUAAUCGGAAUUACUGGGCGUAAAGCGCGCGUAGGCGGUUUAUUAAGUCGGAUGUGAAAGCCCCGGGCUCAACCUGGGAACUGCAUCCGAUACUGGUCGACUAGAGUACGAGAGAGGGAGGU
rnacentral:rRNA from 1 species